GAUGAACGCUAGCGGCAGGCUUAACACAUGCAAGUCGAGGGGUAUAGUUCUUCGGAACUAGAGACCGGCGCACGGGUGCGUAACGCGUAUGCAAUCUACCUUUUGCAGAGGGAUAGCCCAGAGAAAUUUGGAUUAAUACCUCAUAGUAUGUGAGAAUGGCAUCAUUUUCACAUUAAAGUCACAACGGCAAAAGAUGGGCAUGCGUCCCAUUAGCUAGAUGGUAAGGUAACGGCUUACCAUGGCGACGAUGGGUAGGGGUCCUGAGAGGGAGAUCCCCCACACUGGUACUGAGACACGGACCAGACUCCUACGGGAGGCAGCAGUGAGGAAUAUUGGACAAUGGGCGCAAGCCUGAUCCAGCCAUGCCGCGUGCAGGAUGACGGUCCUAUGGAUUGUAAACUGCUUUUGUACAGGAAGAAACACUCCCUCGUGAGGGAGCUUGACGGUACUGUAAGAAUAANGAUCGGCUAACUCCGUGCCAGCCGCCGCUGUAAGAC
rnacentral:rRNA from 1 species